AUCUAGCUGACGAAUCCCAAAUAGGACGAAACGCACUUCAAACUGUAU
rfam:Schistosoma mansoni strain Puerto Rico chromosome 3, complete genome